rnacentral:ncRNA from 1 species
AAACAAUCUAAAAAGUAUUAAUAUAAUCGAUUAAUAUUAAAAUAUAAAAAUAAUUUUGUUUUAAAAUCAUCUUUCCUUAUAAAAUAUAAAAGAAUAAUUAAUAAAAUAAUUGAUAAAUUUAAGUGCCAGCAAUCGCGGUUAUACUUGUAAUCUAAUUAUAUUAAAUAACAUUAAAAUUAAUAAAUUUAUAUACCAAUUAAUUUAAGAUAAAAUUUCAUUACACAAAUAUAAAAAAAAAAAUUAAAAAAAAUUUUAAAUUUAAAAUAGGAUUAGAUACCCUAGUAUAUUAAAAAAUUUAGGGAGUAAAAAUUUUAAUCAAAACCCAAUUAUAAUGGCGGCAUUUCAUCUUAUUAGAGGAACCUGUUUUUUAAUCGACAAUCCACGUUAAUUUUAACUUUAAUUAAAAAUUUAUAUACCGCCAUCUAAAAAACUAAUUUUAUAAUAAUAUUUUUAAUAAAAAAUAAAAAGUUAGGUCAAGGUGUAAUCAAUAUUAAAGUAAAUAAUGGGUUACUUUAAAAUCAAUUUAAGGAUUAUUAUAUAAUAAUAUUUUAUAAAAAAGGAUUUAAAAGUAAUAUAUUAAUAAUAUUUUUAUAUGAUUCAGAUAAUAAAUGUGCACAUAUCGCCCGUCACCCUUAUCAAAAAUAAGGUAAGUCGUAACAUAGUUGAUAUUUUGGAAAAAGUAUCAAG